rnacentral:snoRNA from 1 species
CUGGGAUGAUGCAAUUUAGCCAAAUCUGACAUUGAUGUGCUCCUUAAGGAGUUAAGGCAUUGCAAUAUGACUACCUUUGGUAGAAGUGCAUCACUUUGAAGAUAAAAUUGAGAUUGGUUGCUUUCUGACCAGA